rnacentral:rRNA from 1 species
GACGGAGGAUGCAAGUGUUAUCCGGAAUCACUGGGCGUAAAGCGUCUGUAGGUUGUUUAAUAAGUCAACUGUUAAAUCUUGAGGCUCAACUUCAAAAUCGCAGUCGAAACUAUUAGACUAGAGUAUAGUAGGGGUAAAGGGAAUUUCCAGUGGAGCGGUGAAAUGCGUAGAGAUUGGAAAGAACACCAAUGGCGAAGGCACUUUACUGGGCUAUUACUAACACUCAGAGACGAAAGCUAGGGUAGCAAAUGGG